UUUAUUUCUAGGGAAACUUUAUUGCACAUCUCCAAGUAUAUUUAUUCCGCUCCCUGACUUCGCCCCCGAGAGUGCGAGAGCGAGCGUUGCCCUAACUCGGAGCGACGAUAGGAUAUCAGUUAUUGCAGAAGGAGGCAACAAGCUUGAGGUAGUAGCUGCAUAAUCUGCAAGAAGUUCUGUGGGUGAAGUGAGCAUACCUAUGAGUUUCUUGCAAUUUAUGCAAUUGCUGCCUCAAGCUUGUUGCCUCCCUUUGCCAAAACUGUAAGUACAAAGCCCAGGUUUAGCCACACUAGAUAUUUCUUGGUAUUGCUAGAUUUAUAUUUUCACAGUUAACUAGGCUUCGAAAAUAAUCAUCCUAUAAGGUGAAGUGGUGAACUAUAAUCUGAAUUCUGAAAUUCAAUUGUGAGAUGCGAUCUCAUGGGCAUGAAGAUUUAAAUGUCUGUUUAGAAUGAACUGAAUGAGUCAAUGGGCACUGACCUAAAUGAAAUGGCUUUGAUGACUGAGUUGAGAGACGGACUGAAGCUGCUAUUCUGGUAUCUUUGCAAGAUGGAUUAUGAUAGCACAAUGGAGGCCGAUACCUUCUUUUGCCUAACCCUCAGUGGCCUUGCAAGAGCUUCCUGAAUGAGCUACAGAUGUUGACCACCUAUUAUAACAUACCCUUGAUUAUUAUGCAUUGCCAACUUUGUAUUUAAGUAUUGGCAACUGCUUCCCAACUGGAAUGAUGUAGCCACAGUCCCUGCACUUCAUUGUGUUCGCUGUGGUUGAGAUGUGACAUAUAUGUAAUAUGGAAUGAGAUAUGCUGUCUUUGGUA